AUUGAACGCUGGCGGCAGGCUUAACACAUGCAAGUCGAGCGGGGUGAUGGUGCUUGCACUAUCACUUAGCGGCGGACGGGUGAGUAAUGCUUAGGAAUCUGCCUAUUAGUGGGGGACAACAUUUCGAAAGGAAUGCUAAUACCGCAUACGUCCUACGGGAGAAAGCAGGGGAUCUUCGGACCUUGCGCUAAUAGAUGAGCCUAAGUCGGAUUAGCUAGUUGGUGGGGUAAAGGCCUACCAAGGCGACGAUCUGUAGCGGGUCUGAGAGGAUGAUCCGCCACACUGGGACUGAGACACGGCCCAGAAUCCUACGGGAGGCAGCAGUGGGGAAUAUUGGACAAUGGGCGGAAGCCUGAUCCAGCCAUGCCGCGUGUGUGAAGAAGGCCUUUUGGUUGUAAAGCACUUUAAGCGAGGAGGAGGCUACUUAGAUUAAUACUCUAGGAUAGUGGACGUUACUCGCAGAAUAAGCACCGGCUAACUCUGUGCCAGCCGCCGCGGUAAUAC
rnacentral:rRNA from 1 species